AAAGUCGUAACAAGGUUUCCGUAGGUGAACCUGCGGAAGGAUCAUUACAGAGUUCAUGCCCUUACGGGUAGAUCUCCCACCCUUGAAUAUCUUACCUUUGUUGCUUUGGCGGGACGCUUCGGCCACCGGCUUUCAGCUGGUGAGUGCCCGCCAGAGGACCCUAAACUCUGAAUUUUAUAUUGUCUGAGAACUAUAUAAUAGUUAAAACUUUCAACAACGGAUCUCUUGGUUCUG
rnacentral:misc_RNA from 1 species